rnacentral:rRNA from 1 species
UACGUAGGGUGCAAGCGUUUAUCCGGAAUUAUUGGGCGUAAAGAGCUCGUAGGCGGUUUGUCGCGUCUGCUGUGAAAACUGGAGGCUCAACCUCCAGCCUGCAGUGGGUACGGGCAGACUAGAGUGUGGUAGGGGAGACUGGAAUUCCUGGUGUAGCGGUGAAAUGCGCAGAUAUCAGGAGGAACACCGAUGGCGAAGGCAGGUCUCUGGGCCGCAACUGACGCUGAGGAGCGAAAGCAUGGGGAGCGAACAGG